CACUACUCAAGCAUUGGGGUUGCUUAAAUAGGUGGCCGAUGCCACAAUAAUGUGCCACUGACUGUGGUGCACAACAGUUUCUCGGGCAUAAAAGAAAUAGGAAGAGCACCUGCACUUUAAUCUGGAAUACAAAAGCAGAGGCAAAAGUCACGGACCUUAUACUCAGUAUGGAGCAAGAUGAUUCAAGAAACAGAAUUGCAAAGGGCACGAAUGCAUCCUCACCACAUUUCUCUGGAGGACAACACAAGCAGGCUACAUGAUCCCUGAAGAAGUGGAUUAUCGAAGAUUCUUUUCAUAGGGAAGACACAUUAACAUAGACCAAAGAAUGAAUAUCCAUUAACAAAUCUGAGC